rnacentral:lncRNA from 1 species
AGAAGGACAGGAGAACGGGGAGGAGAGAGGAAGUGCCAGCUGGCCCACUUCCAUUGCUACAGGGACAGGCAUGAGUUCAUGGGGGGCGGGGGGGGGGGGGACUGAUGCUAGAGGCUUCCUCUGAUGGCUGAGAAUGACCUUUUGUAUGCAGGAAAGGACCUAGGCCUGGACCCACCACCUCCCUGACGUGGAGGAAAGCCGGGAAGAGAGAAACCCAGGCUGACAGACAGGAAGGAGUCUUAUCUCUGAGAGGACUCCCGGUGCGGAUGAGCCCCGGUGGGGCGCCCUCUGCCGGUGGACCUGUGACCCGCUCUAACGUAGGCAACUGCAAACCUAACCCAAGAGUACGAACGGUAGAAUCUCUGCCUCUGGGUUUCUGCUCAGCAGUGAGAGGAGCUUGGAAACUGCCCAGCCAGAGUGGAACGAAGAUCACGAAAUUAAAUGGGCUGCUCGCGGUUGCCUGAAGGUCUAGAAAAUCCCUGUGCUUCGGGUCGAAAUUCACCCUGGAAAGAGUCCUGAGUACAGGCGCACAGAAAGCACAGAUGUCGGGAAGAAUUUAUGGGUGGUACCCCCAGGACGCCAACGGGCUACUUGGGGUUUACUAUACUGCUUUUCUGUGAACUUAAAAAACGCAUAGCUGUUUGCCUAAGUUGCUAUACCCUCUGGGAGGCAAGCAUGAGUAUAUUGGCAGGAAUCACUGUGCGUUCUGAACCCUUAGCUGCGAUGCGAACUUAGUUCAUUCGGUGCAGCCGGGUUCCUGGAAGCGCCACCUCACACUCCGCAACCCGCCCGGGUGUUUGCAAAAUGUGUUAUCCGGAUCCUUAUAUUCUCUGUCUCAAGUGCCUAAGACUCAAAAACCAGACCAAACUAUACCGCCCGAGUGGAGAAAGUGUGGGAUAUGACACUAGAGGGAGGUACCAAAAUUGGUAGGAAUAACAGACAUCCCAGACCUCUGUUUCCAGCGUUUUGUUCAGUGUCUGGG